CCGAAUUCGUCGACAACAGAGUUUGAUCCUGGCUCAGGACGAACGCUGGCGGCGUGCUUAACACAUGCAAGUCGAACGGUAAGGCCCCUUCGGGGGUACACGAGUGGCGAACGGGUGAGUAACACGUGGGUAAUCUGCCCUGCACUUCGGGAUAAGCCUGGGAAACCGGGUCUAAUACCGGAUAUGAACUCCUGCCGCAUGGUGGGGGUUGGAAAGUUUUUCGGUGCAGGAUGAGCCCGCGGCCUAUCAGCUUGUUGGUGGGGUAAUGGCCUACCAAGGCGACGACGGGUAGCCGGCCUGAGAGGGUGAUCGGCCACACUGGGACUGAGACACGGCCCAGACUCCUACGGGAGGCAGCAGUGGGGAAUAUUGCACAAUGGGCGAAAGCCUGAUGCAGCGACGCCGCGUGGGGGAUGACGGUCUUCGGAUUGUAAACCCCUUUCAGUAGGGACGAAGCGCAAGUGACGGUACCUGCAGAAGAAGCACCGGCUAACUACGUGCCAGCAGCCGCGGUAAUACGUAGGGUGCGAGCGUUGUCCGGAAUUACUGGGCGUAAAGAGCUCGUAGGCGGUUUGUCACGUCGUCUGUGAAAUCCCUCGGCUUAACCGGGGGCGUGCAGGCGAUACGGGCAGACUUGAGUACUACAGGGGAGACUGGAAUUCCUGGUGUAGCGGUGAAAUGCGCAGAUAUCAGGAGGAACACCGGUGGCGAAGGCG
rnacentral:rRNA from 1 species